AACGAGACCUUAACCUGCUAAAUAGCUAGGCUAGCCUUGGCUGGUCGCCGGCUUCUUAGAGGGACUAUCGGCUCAAGCCGAUGGAAGUUUGAGGCAAUAACAGGUUGGCGUAUCACAGGCCUGUAAGAGUAUGUGAUCUACUAGUCUAACGCUUGAUCCUCGUUGAAGAAGCCUUCUUCUGCCGGGCGAGGAGGUGCCGUGCGGCACCUGCGUGGGCAACACUAGCUGGUACAGGGGACGCCGG
rnacentral:rRNA from 1 species